rnacentral:rRNA from 1 species
UACGAAGGGUGCAAGCGUUACUCGGAAUUACUGGGCGUAAAGCGUGCGUAGGUGGUGAGUUAAGUCUGUCGUGAAAGCCCCGGGCUCAACCUGGGAAUGGCGAUGGAUACUGGCUCGCUAGAGUGCGGUAGAGGAGAGUGGAAUUCCCGGUGUAGCAGUGAAAUGCGUAGAUAUGCGGAGGAACACCGAUGGCGAAGGCAAUCCCCUGGGCCUGCACUGACGCUCAUGCACGAAAGCGUGGGGAGCAAACAGG